AGCAGUCGCCGCGGUAAAACGGAGGGGGCUAGCGUUAAUCGGAAUUACUGGGCGUAAAGCGCACGCAGGCGGUCUGUCAAGUCGGAUGUGAAAUCCCCGGGCUCAACCUGGGAACUGCAUUCGAAACUGGCAGGCUAGAGUCUUGUAGAGGGGGGUAGAAUUCCAGGUGUAGCGGUGAAAUGCGUAGAGAUCUGGAGGAAUACCGGUGGCGAAGGCGGCCCCCUGGACAAAGACUGACGCUCAGGUGCGAAAGCGUGGGGAGCAAACAGGAUUAGAUACCCCUGUAGUCCCUGUCUCUUAUAC
rnacentral:rRNA from 1 species